rnacentral:rRNA from 1 species
UAGGGAAUCUUCGGCAAUGGGGCGAACCCUGACCGAGCAACGCCGCGUGAGUGAAGAAGGUUUUCGGAUCGUAAAGCUCUGUUGUAAGAGAAGAACGUGUGUGAGAGUGGAAAGUUCACACAGUGACGGUAACUUACCAGAAAGGGACGGCUAACUACGUGCCAG